GACGAACGCUGGCGGCGCGCUUAACACAUGCAAGUCGAGCGAUGAAACUUUAACAGAACCCUUCGGGGCGAAGAUAAAGUGGAUUAGCGGCGGACGGGUGAGUAACACGUGAGUAACCUGCCUUAGACAUUGGGAUAGCCUCGGGAAACCGGGAUUAAUACCAAAUAAAAUCAUAAUGACACAUGUCAUAACGAUCAAAACUCCGGUGGUCUAAGAUGGACUCGCGUCCCAUUAGCUAGUUGGUAGGGUAAAAGCCUACCAAGGCGACGAUGGGUAGCCGGCCUGAGAGGGUGAACGGCCACAUUGGAACUGAGAAACGGUCCAAACUCCUACGGGAGGCAGCAGUGGGGAAUAUUGCACAAUGGAGGGGACUCUGAUGCAGCGACGCCGCGUGAACGAAGAAGGCUUUCGAGUCGUAAAGUUCUUUUAUAUGGGAAGAUAAUGACGGUACCAUAAGAAAAAGCCCCGGCUAACUACGUG
rnacentral:rRNA from 1 species